CAGGUCUUGACAUCCCACUGACCGGUUUAGAGAUAAGCCUUUCCCUUCGGGGACAGUGGUGACAGGUGGUGCAUGGUUGUCGUCAGCUCGUGUCGUGAGAUGUUGGGUUAAGUCCCGCAACGAGCGCAACCCUUGAUCUUAGUUGCCAACAUUCAGUUGGGCACUCUAAGGUGACUGCCGGUGACAAACCGGAGGAAGGUGGGGAUGACGUCAAAUCAUCAUGCCCCUUAUGACCUGGGCUACACACGUGCUACAAUGGACGAUACAAAGGGCUGCAAACCCGCGAGGGGGAGCCAAUCCCAUAAAAUCGUUCUCAGUUCGGAUUGUAGGCUGCAACUCGCCUACAUGAAGCCGGAAUCGCUAGUAAUCGUGGAUCAGCAUGCCACGGUGAAUACGUUCCC
rnacentral:rRNA from 1 species